rnacentral:rRNA from 1 species
CAUCCUCCAAGGCUAAAUACUCCUGACUGACCGAUAGUGAACCAGUACCGUGAGGGAAAGGCGAAAAGAACCCCGGCGAGGGGAGUGAAAAAGAACCUGAAACCGUGUACGUACAAGCAGUGGGAGCCCCACCACUAAGCCAGUGGUGAACUCCACAUACGCAUCCUUUGCUGAGGAUACGGUUAACGGAGCGCAAGCGACGUUCAACCUCAAAAGAAGCAGAGGGGGCUUAGUGGUGGGGUGACUGCGUACCUUUUGUAUAAUGGGUCAGCGACUUAUAUUCUGUAGCAAGGUUAACCGUAUAGGGGAGCCGUAGGGAAACCGAGUCUUAACCGGGCGUUAAGUUGCAGGGUAUAGACCCGAAACCCGGUGAUCUAGCCAUGGGCAGGUUGAAGGUUGGGUAACACUAACUGGAGGACCGAACCGACUAAUGUUGAAAAAUUAGCGGAUGACCUGUGGCUGGGGGUGAAAGGCCAAUCAAACCGGGAGAUAGCUGGUUCUCCCCGAAAGCUAUUUAGGUAGCGCCUCGUGAAUUCAUCUCCGGGGGUAGAGCACUGUUUCGGCUAGGGGGCCAUCCCGGCUUACCAACCCGAUGCAAACUGCGAAUACCGGAGAAUGUUAUCACGGGAGACACACGGCGGGUGCUAACGUCCGUCGUGAAGAGGGAAACAACCCAGACCGCCAGCUAAGGUCCCAAAGUCAUGGUUAAGUGGGAAACGAUGUGGGAAGGCCCAGACAGCCAGGAUGUUGGCUUAGAAGCAGCCAUCAUUUAAAGAAAGCGUAAUAGCUCACUGGUCGAGUCGGCCUGCGCGGAAGAUGUAACGGGGCUAAACCAUGCACCGAAGCUGCGGCAGCGAACGUAUCACUUAAAGCGAUUCAGCGGAUGACGAUUGACGGAGCGAAGCGACGUCAAAGCGUAUACAAAGUCGAGUCGGUUUAAGGAUACGUUCGUUGGGUAGGGGAGCGUUCUGUAAGCCUGUGAAGGUGGCCUGUGAGGGUUGCUGGAGGUAUCAGAAGUGCGAAUGCUGACAUAAGUAACGAUAAAGCGGGUGAAAAGCCCGCUCGCCGGAAGACCAAGGGUUCCUGUCCAACGUUAAUCGGGGCAGGGUGAGUCGACCCCUAAGGC